GACGAACGCUGGCGGCGUGCCUAAUACAUGCAAGUAGAACGCACAGUUUAUACCGUAGCUUGCUCCACCAUAAACUGUGAGUUGCGAACGGGUGAGUAACGCGUAGGUAACCUGCCUGGUAGCGGGGGAUAACUAUUGGAAACGAUAGCUAAUACCGCAUAAUAUUAAUUAUUGCAUGAUAAUUGAUUGAAAGAUGCAAUUGCAUCACUACCAGAUGGACCUGCGUUGUAUUAGCUAGUAGGUGAGGUAACGGCUCACCUAGGCGACGAUACAUAGCCGACCUGGGAGGGUGAUCGGCCACACUGGGACUGAGACACGGCACAGACUCCUACGGGAGGCAGCAGUAGGGAAUCUUCGGAAAUGGACGAAAGUCUGACCGAGCAACGCCGCGUGAGGGAAGAAGGGUGUCGGAUCGUAAAGCUCUGUUGUAAGAGAAGAACGGGGGUGAGAGUGGAAAGUUCACACUGUGACGGUAUCUUACCAGAAAGGGACGGCUAACUACGUG
rnacentral:rRNA from 1 species